GGGGGUGCCUGGUAUCGAUUCUGGGACCUGACGGAGGGGAAGCGAGCCGAGGGCCCGGGUGCUCGUUAAAACGCCUGAACAAACCAAUAAAUGCCGACGAUGAAUUGGCAUUGGCUGCUUAAUUAACUGAGUAGCUCGCUCGAUUGAGGUUCUGCCAUCCGGCUGAAAUCGAGCGUCAUCACAGGAUGGCUCACGAUCGUGUUCGGCAACGAGGCACGCUCGGACAUCUGCAUCGUAGCUAGGAAGGGUUAGGGGGUGUCGAUGCCCUCCCCGACCGAAACGCUUCCCAUCGAAUGCGCUCGGAGAAGUCCUUCGAACGGCUCGGAAGACGCGGGUUCGACUCCCGCCACCUCCACCC
rnacentral:tmRNA from 1 species